rnacentral:rRNA from 1 species
AGACGUCUACAUUAGAUACCCCUGUAGUCCCAGCCGUAAACUAUGCGCGUUAGGUGUAUCGGUGACCACGAGUUACCGAGGUGCCGAAGGGAAACCGUGAAACGUGCCGCCUGGGAAGUAAGGUCGCAAGGCUGAAACUUAAAGGAAUUGGCGGGGAGCACCACAACGGGUGGAGCCUGCGGUUUAAUUGGACUCAACGCCGGGAAGCUCACCGGAUAAGACAGCGGAAUGAUUGCCGGGCUGAAGACUCUGCAUGACUAGCUG